rnacentral:tRNA from 1 species
GGCNCNUUGGUCAAGCGGUUAAGACACCGCCCUUUCACGGCGGUAACACGGGUUCGAGUCCCGUACGGGUCA